CAAUAGCGUAUAUUAAAGUUGUUGCAGUUAAAAAGCUCGUAGUUGGAUUUGUGGCUGUCGCCGGCGGCCUAGCACCUAGUGUUAGUGCAUGCUGGCGUCGCCAUCCUUGGGUGGAGCCUGUGUGGCAUUAGGUUGUCGCGCAGGGGAUGCCCAUCGUUUACUGUGAGAAAAUUAGAGUGUUCAAAGCAGGCUUAUGCCGUUGAAUAUGUUAGCAUGGAAUAAUAAGAUAGGACCUCGGUACUAUUUUGUUGGUUUGCGCACCGAGGUAAUGAUUAAUAGGGACAGUUGGGGGUAUUCGUAUUCCAUUGUCAGAGGUGAAAUUCUUGGAUUUCUGGAAGACGAACUACUGCGAAAGCAUUUACCAAGGAUGUUUUCAUUA
rnacentral:rRNA from 1 species